rnacentral:rRNA from 1 species
CACUCCUGCGGGAGGCAGCAGUGGGGAAUAUUGGACAAUGGGCGCAAGCCUGAUCCAGCCAUGCCGCGUGAGUGAUGAAGGCCCUAGGGUUGUAAAGCUCUUUCACCGGUGAAGAUAAUGACGGUAACCGGAGAAGAAGCCCCGGCUAACUUCGUGCCAGCAGCCGCGGUAAUACGAAGGGGGCUAGCGUUGUUCGGAUUUACUGGGCGUAAAGCGCACGUAGGCGGACUAUUAAGUCAGGGGUGAAAUCCCGGGGCUCAACCCCGGAACUGCCUUUGAUACUGGUAGUCUUGAGUUCGAGAGAGGUGAGUGGAAUUCCGAGUGUAGAGGUGAAAUUCGUAGAUAUUCGGAGGAACACCAGUGGCGAAGGCGGCUCACUGGCUCGAUACUGACGCUGAGGUGCGAAAGCGUGGGGAGCAAACAGGAGUAGAUACCCGGGUAGUCCC